GUAAAAACAAAAGGAAAUAAAGGACAAAGCAAUGAAAAGUUGCCAAAGCAAGAAAGUUGGAAUAUAGAGUAACUGGAAACCUGUAUUUCCGCCUUUGUGACAAUUCAUGUGCAACACAUAUAUCUAGAUGGAAUGCAUGGACACACACUUUCAUUCUAAUUGCUUUUCCAAAUGCAAAAGAGUCCCAUGAAAUAAAUCAGACUCAGCUGACUUACCUGACAUUUGCAGGAAACCAAUUUGAGAUGAAUUGAUGACUAUACAAAGCAAGUUUUAACCUUGAAAAACCAGCACUGAACCAGCAUCUCCUCAUAUCCUGGGGUGCUCGAGACAUGAACUCUUGACUGUAAGCUUUCCCAACUCCCAGUAAAAAAGCACAAAAAUAAACAACAAACACAAAAGCUUGUUGCCUUUUGA
rnacentral:lncRNA from 1 species